AAUACAAACCCAAACUCAUCCUUAUCUUCACCCGUUCCCAUGCUUCGCUGUUCUCUACAAGCUCGAUAGAAUGGGAGCUGAACCAUGGAAAGUUCUCAACCAGUCUAGGUCUAAGCUCUGGCAUCAUGCUGCAACUGUCGGAGAAAAUGUUGUUGGUGAAGAAGUACCGGAAGCUGAAGUGGUCGCAGCGCCGACUAAGUUCACUUUCAACUAUUCGCUAGUCGAUGUUGCUCUUCGGAUCUUACUAUUUGCAGCGGCUUUAAGUUCUGUGGUGGUCAUAGUUACCAACAAGCAAACCGAUGGGUUGAGACUACGGAGGAAGAAGAUGGAGCAGCUAACAAUGGCUACUAUUACUGCCCGUUAAAAAUCAAGAAAGGAAAGGCGGUUUGCCUUUUUAAGCGAGACAGAAUGAGAUCUAAGAUAUUCUUGGAAAUUAAAAAAAUUAAGGGAAAACAAAAAGAAAUAUCAUAUGAAGAUAAAGGAAAAAUGGGGUUAUGAUUCCAACAAGAAAAAUCAGUGUUGCCUAGGAAAAUAAAGUGGUAAAUCACAAGAUUUGAGUUCGUAUAUUCGAAAGUUCGGGUUCUUGAUUGUUUGGGUUUUUGUCGACGUCCUGAUUCUGAUUCCGAAGUAUGUUUCGCCAAAUUCGAACUCGGAAUUAUUGGAAGUUGAAUUAAAGAUCGAGGGCG